rnacentral:rRNA from 1 species
UACGAAGGGGGCUAGCGUUGCUCGGAAUCACUGGGCGUAAAGGGUGCGUAGGCGGGUCUUUAAGUCAGGGGUGAAAUCCUGGAGCUCAACUCCAGAACUGCCUUUGAUACUGAAGAUCUUGAGUUCGGGAGAGGUGAGUGGAACUGCGAGUGUAGAGGUGAAAUUCGUAGAUAUUCGCAAGAACACCAGUGGCGAAGGCGGCUCACUGGCCCGAUACUGACGCUGAGGCACGAAAGCCAGGGUAGCGAACCGG